AUUUUUUUUAAAAAAAUAUUCAACAUUGAGACAUUUUUCUCAAUGUAUUAUAUUCUCAAGAUCUGAUUUUUUGUCUGACUGGUUUUAUCAAAUCAUUAAUUCAGCCAUUUAUUAUAUGAACACCUUUUGUAAAACAAGAACACUAAUUUAUCACAUGAUAUUUUCAUAUAUAUUUUGUGAUAUUGAGAAUCAUUAAGUAUUUUAUCACCUGCUUUUUACAAAAACACAAUAGUCUCUCAUUUCACUAAUAGUGAUACAUUUGCUCUAAGUAUCAGUAAAUUUACUCUGAAUGAUAAGUUCUUCAUUUAAAUAGGAACUUAACUUUUUUGGGAUUUCAGUUCAAAAGGAAAGGUAAAUGUUUAUUUCCCUUAUCUUACCAUUUAUAUAAUAAUGAAUUGAUGUGCAAGUAAUCUUCAAAGGUGACUAGUUUUUAAAUUCAUGUUCUUUAUUCAGAAGACAGAAAGCAUUUUCAGGAGAUUUGAAUAUUUGAAGUUAUAUUUUAAAGGUGAUAAUGCUAAUAGCAUAAUUAAACAGUUUCUGCAUGUAAACACAUGGUAGAAUAAAACAGGUAAUAUAUAUUUGUAAUUAUUUUUCUAUUUCAUGUUUAUUCAAAUGUAUGUACAAUCUCUGUAGCUUGUAGUUUGGCUAUGUUAUGCUUUAUAAAAUUUAUUUAUCUGAGACAGGGUCUCACUCUGUUGCCCAGGCUGGAGUGCAGAGGCAUGAUGUCAGCUCACAGCCUCCACCUCCCAGGUUCAAGUGAUUCUCCUGCCUCAGCCUCCCAAGUAGCUGGGACUACAGGCAUGCACCACCACAUCUGACUAAUGUUUAUGUAUAUAUUUUUUAGUAGGGUCAGGUUUUCACCAUGUUGGCCAGGCUGGUCUUGAACUACUGAGCUCAAAUGAUUAACCUGCCUUGGCCUCUCAAACUACUGGAAUUAUAGGCAUGAGCCUCCACACCCGGACAUAACAUUUAUUUUUUAUUUUAUUUUUUAUAUUUUAUUUUAUAUUUUAUUUUAUUUUUGAGAUGGAGUUUUGCUCUUGUUGCACAGGCUGGAGUGCAAUGGCACGAUCUCGCAUCACCACAACCUCCAGCUCCCGGUUGCAAGCGAUUCUCCUGCCCAGCCUCCCAAGCAGCUGGGAUUACAGAUAAGUGCCACCACGCCCGGCUAAUUUUUUUAUUUUUAGUAGAAUCAGAGUUUCUCCAUGUUGGUCAGGCUAGUCUCAAACUCCUGACCUCAGGUGAUUUGCCCGCCUCAGCCUCCCAAAGUGCUAGGAUUACAGGCAUGAGCUGCCACGCCCGGCCUAUAAAAUUUAUUUUUAUCCCAGUUGUGUGUACUUAUUUACUUAUGUAUUUAUUUAUAUUUAUUUAUUUGAGAUGGAGUCUGACUCUCUUCCCCAGACUGGAAUGCAGUGGCACAAUCUUGGCUCAUUGUAGCCUCUGACACCAGGGUUCAAGCCAUCAUCCCACCUCAGCCUCCCAAGUAGCUGGGAUUUUAAGCAUGUACCACCAUGCCCAGCUAAUUUUUAUAUUCUUAGUAGAGACAGGGUUUCACCAUGUUGGCCAGGUUGGCCUUGAACUCCUGACCUCAGGUGAUCCACCUGCCUCGGCUUCCCAAAGUGCUAGAAUUAUAGAGGUGUGAGCCUCUAUAAGGAAUAUGAUUUGAAGGGAAGAGGGGAUAUGAGUGUGGAUAUGAGUGUGAGGUAAAUGUUUUCCUAUUUAAAUAUUGAAAUAUAAAAGGCUAUUCAGUUUCCAUUCAAGUAACGUUUGGAAGCUUUUUAUUUCAUAAUACUAUUUUGUGUAGAAACCAUUACUGUUUGUUUUGUAUUUGUGUAGGUAAAAAGUAUUAUGAAAUUAUGUAAUUACAGUAUUUUCUUCACUCUGCCAAAAAAAAAACAAAAAUAAUUAUAACUCGGUAUCUAAUGAUUGAACAUUUAGUAAUUCUUCCCUGACAAAAAAGAAAAAUAUUAUAACUCAGGUAUCUAAUGAUUGAACAUUUAGUAAUUCUUCCCUGAUUAUAAAAGUAGCACAUUUAUACUUUGGAAAAUAAAACAGCAUGUAUGGGAAUAAAGUAAUAAACAUAGAGAAAUUCCAUCACCUCCCUUCCCCUCUCCUCCAAGAAAAAGUGGCUUACGCCUGUAAUCCAAGUUCUUAGGGAGCCAGAGGCAGGAGCAUAGCUUGAGCCCAGGAGUUUGGGACUUGCCUGGGCGAUAUAGCGAGACCCUGUUUCCCCGCCCCACCCCUCAAAAAAAAAGAAAAAAGUAAUUCCAUAUUUUACAGGUUUAGUGGUGACUUCAUAAAAGAUGAAAGGGAAGGUUAUCAGAGUAUCCCAUUGUAGUGAUUAUAGUGCUCAGAUUGUAGCUCCAUACCUGUUAGAACACAUUACCAAUUGUCAGCUUAAACUAUAUUUGUAUUUAUUGUUUGUCUGUUUUGUAUUAAAGGCAAAAGCUCAUUAUCAAUUAGUUGUAUGUUUUAAAGAGUUGACCACAACAUCCAUCAUAAGACCUAUCUAAAGAGAAAUACAUGAUGUCUUAGUACAAAGGAGUAGAGAGAGAUACAAUGAAUAUAUUUAUUUUCGUGUUUCUUAAGAGGGAAUGCACUAGCAAUUGACGGUAAAAUAGAUACAAAUCAAGUAAAGAAACCAGUAUAUUUUUAGUCAUUAUGUCACUUUGAACAACAAUUUGUUUAAUCAUUUUGCGAUAACUGGUUGCUUGGAACUGCCUUAUUUUUUGUAUUCAAUAUAUUUAUUUAUGGGAGUGUAUACAUAUUCUAGGGUGUUCUAGUUCCUCAGGGAAAAUCUGGAUGACAUAGAAGAAUUUUGUUCUUUAUUAUGAGUCAAUUUAUAAUUUCAUCUUUUUUUAAAAAGCAUUUUUCCUACAGCUAGACGUUUUGAUUGUCACUUUUGUUGUGAGAAAAAAAUUACAAAGACGUAAAGAUUGGGAAUGAGGAAGGUGACUUGAUCGGGUAUCACACUUACAAAAUCUUGUAUGUAAUUAGAGUUAUGUUAAUGGCACAUUUAUAAGCAAAGUAAUGUCAUGGAAUGGAAGACCUGUAAGUUGACAUGAGAAACAGAAAGUGUAUUGAAGUUAAUCUGCAUUCAUGGGGGCAGAUUGUUAGCCAAAUGAAUAAAGAAUUAGAUUCAUCUCCAUGGUAUGUAGCAUGAAGAAUUUAAAAUGAAUCAGAGGUUUAAAUUAACUGCAGAAAUUAUAGAGUUUCAGAAAACAAAUGAAUUUCUCUCCAAUUUCGAGGAAAUUACUUAUGAUACACAUUGUAGAAGCAACAAGAAACAAAGAUUGAUAGUAAAAAUGAAAUUACAGAGUUGAAAAAGUGACAUCACAUAAGAAGAGUGAAACCCUUGGUGUGUAAGAUAUAAUCGGGGAAAAAUACCAGUUCAAAGGAAAAGUGACUUGAGCACAUAGUUCACUGAAAAAAAUACACAAAGUGCUGUUAAUCAUAUAAAAGGAUUCUUGGGUUUGCUCAUAAUAAGGAUAAUGACAAUUGAAAAUACAACUAAGAUAUAAUUAGUUUCUCUACUAUUAAACUAGCAAAAAUCCAGAAGUUUGACAACUUUUUUUUUUUUGGCAACAUGUUCGGAAUUAUGGAAAAUCAUACGUUGCUUCUGGGCAUGUAAAAUGUAAACCAUAUGGGUAGGAAUUUAAUAUUUUGUAAAUCUAUAUCUGUGGCAAAUACAUAGUUCAUCUCCUAGUAAUAUGUAGCAGUAAGAAGGAUUGAUGGAUGUUUGUAUACCACUAUGUGAUAAUGUCUUGGAUAUAAUGUAGAAAUAGGGGAGAAGUCGGCUACAGGAAGUAAAAAUGGCAAUAUGGUGCUCAGGGUGCAUUCAUCACCAUAACAGAUAACCGUUUUGUUAAUGGUGCCCUGCGCGGUAACUAAAAUUGUACUGGGCUUUCAACAGAAUUUUGUCAAAAUGGGACGCUGCAUGAGCUAACGAGUUGUGAAAUAAAUAGGUUUUUAUUGUGGAAUAAUAAGUAACACAAAGAAGGGGGUUUGCAGUAUCUUAGGAAGAAGAACAGACAUUCUUGGUAAAGUUCCUUUAAUAUGAAAAUAGCAUUUUUAAAAACUUGGAGUAGUGAGUGAAGAAGCUUUCUGUAUGAGAGCACGGUUAGUUCCCAAAUAAAUCCCAGCCUCCUCUCUCCUGUUAAUUUCUUCGGAAGGAUUUGAGGUAGCUUUUGAAGUAUUUGGUCAAAGUUGCAAACUCUUCGGGAGGAGGCCAGGCAUGGUACCUCACGCCUGUAAUCCCAGCAUUUUGGGAGGCUGAGGCGGGAGGAUCACCUGAGGUCAGGAGGUCAAGACCAGCAUGGUCAACAUGGCGAAACCCUGUCUCUAUUAAAAAUAUAAAAAUGAGCUGAGUAUGGUGAUGCACGCCUGUAAUCCUAGCUGCUUGGGAGGCUUGAGGCAGGAGAAUCACUUGAACCCAGAAGGCAGAGCUUGCCGUGAGAUGAGAUCGUGCCACUGCACUCCAGCCUGCGUGACAAAACAAGACUCCUCAUGGAAAAAAAAAAAAAAAGGAAACCUGAGAUUCUGCUUAACAAUUGUAAAGUCAGAAGUUAUAGCUGAGGUGGUACCAGUUUAAGAAGUGAGAACUUCUUCACUGACUGAAAUUUGCAUAUCAAUCCAAAUCAUUGUGCUUGUUUACUAUUUUUGUAGACGUCAUUCUUCAAAAGUGCUGCAUCUUUCAUAGUCAAGGAGGACAAAGACAUCUUUCCUGCAGGUGGUGACCAUAUGGAUAAUAGGAUCAUAGACAAAUGGUGGUUCCAUCUACAGCAUCACCAAAAUGCUGUUGUUACUGCUUCUUUCUGGGAUCUUCUUGCAUCUUUGCUUCUAAAGGGGCACACCUUUUAUAGAAGUACGUCCAGGAAUAGAAGUGACCUGCUUUUUCGCAAGGCGUUUUCAAAAAGUCUUUAUUUGGCGGAAUACAACUUCAGAAUCUGAUUCAAAGAGAAAAUUGCUCACAGCCGUGAGCCACUGUGCCUGGCCGAUUUUUACUAUUUAAAGAAAGAAGAAUUUUAGCAGCGUCGGGUGGCUCAUGCCUGUAAUCCCAGCACUUUGGGAGGCUGAGGUGGGCGGAUCACUUGAGGCCAGUAGUUCAAGAACAGCCUGGCCAACAUGACGAAACCCCAUCUCUACUAAAAAUACAAAAAUUAGCCAGGCGUGGUGGCACGUGCCUGUAGUCCCAGCUACUCGAAGGCUUAGGCAGGAGAAUCGCUUGAAUCAGAGACAGGGAGGCUGCAAUGAGCCGAGAUUGCAUCACUGCACUCCAGCCUGGGCGACAGUGCAAGACUCCAUCUCAAAAAUAAAGAGGAAUUGGAGGAGGAAACAAAUGAAUAAAUGACAAAGGUGACAAAGGACCAAAGAUCUGUGACUUGUGCAAAGAUUGCUCUGUGUUUGCUGCAGGUCUAGAAGAUGUUACAGAAUUUCAAGGAAGAGAGAGGAGGGCUGGAAUGAGGUCCUCCACUUCAGAAAAUAGGGGUGAGUAGUUAAACCAACAUCCUUUGGAAUUCAUAUACGUCAUGCGUUCCAUGCCACAUCCUGAGGUCUUUUUGUUGAUUUUUUUAGUGGCUUAAUGGAUAAUAUCUAAAUACUGUAUAUUUUACUUUGGUGAGUCUCUCCACCUUCAUUUCUGAAUCAUUGUCCUUUACAUUUUUAUUCUAUUUGAAUUUUGCAUGAAACGACAAAUGUAGAAUUUUGCCCAAUUUAUUUUAUUUAUUCAUUUAUUUAUUUGGGAAGACAAAGUCUCUCUCUGUCACCCAGGCUGGAGUACAUUGGCCCAGUCAUAGCUCACUUCAGCUCUUCACCCUGUAGCCCUUAACUCCUGGGCUCAAGUGAUCCUCCACCCUCAGCCUCCCAAGUAUCUAGGAAUACAGGCCAAUUUCCAUUUUAUUUAUGUUGUCUUCUUGGAAAGGACAAAGAACAACAAUUCUGUAUCUAGUAGCAAAGGUAAAUUUAAAUUCAAUUUAUUUCUUUUUAAAAUUUCAACUUUUAUUUUGGAUUCAGGGGGUACAUACACAGAUUUGUUACAUGGGAAUAAUGUGUGAACAUACAACUUGAUAGGUAGGUUUUUUUUCUUUGUUUUUUUGAGACAGAGUCUAAGUCUGUUCCCCAGGCUGGAGUGCAGUGGCAUAAUCUUUACUCACUGCAACCUGCAGCUCCCAGAUUCAAACGAUUCUCGUGCCUCAGCCUCCCAAGUAGCUGGGAUUAGAGGUGUGCAUUAUCACACCUGGUUGAUUUUUGUUUUUGCUUUUUUGUAGAGAUGGGGUGUCACCAUGUUGGCCAGACUGGUCUUGAACUCCCUGCCUGAAGUGAUUCACCCGCCUUGGCCUCCCGAAAUGCUGGGAUUACAGGUGUGAGCCCACCACACCUAGCCUUUGUCAUGGGAGGCCAGCCGCCUGCUGGCAAGGAAGAUGGUUGAUUCUUCUGAUCAAUGGAGGCCCUGCAGAGUCCUGUAGUCACUGUGGCCUGGCAUCCAUGGUGCACCCAAUGCUGGUGGAUGACUUAGGACGAGGCAGUUGCUGUGGGAGGUGUGGUAACUGCUGGAAGGAAGAUGCUCAAUUCUUCUGAGCAGCGAAGGCCACACGGAGUCCUGGAUUCUGUGUGGCCUGGCAUCCACGGUGCACUGUGUGCUGGCGGGUGGCUUAGGACGGUAAGCAUUUCUCUGCCCAGUAUGCUGAAUGAGGGUGUCUUUUGGAUUUCCAAGACCCGCAAGGAGUAGUUUCUCGGCUAACCACUAAUGGCAUGGCGAGUUCCUCUCCUAGAGUGGAUAGUCUGUGCUCAUUGCUCAGUGGCACCGCUCCAGUGGGGCCGAAGGUCUUUAAGGUCAUUGGCUCACCCACUACCCAGCCUGUGGUGUCAAAUAUCCUGCCCCUUGCCCCUUCAAAUGUGCUUGGAUCGAUGAUGAGUCCCCCAAAAAAACAUUCCUUGGAAAAGCUGAACAAAAUGAGUGAAAACUCAUACCGUCGUUCUCAUCGGAACUGAGGUCCAGCACGUUGCCUUCCCCGGGGACUGUAGGAGUGAGGGACAACUUCCACUGAUUCCCAUAGGUUCCACCACCCAAGGCAUCCACAGCCAAAGUCUCCCAUCAAAUGCUCAUUAGGAACAUUCCCUUUUUGUGAGGUACACAGGUAGGAGAGUCCUGGGGGGAACGGCUGCUGUGUGAUGGCCUGGUGGCCGUGGAAGCAGACAGAAAUAUCGCAGGCCUAGGGUAGUGUGCGCCUGAUCUUGGCUUGGUGAGCUCCUAGGAAGGGAGAUGCGGACCUCGUGGCAGGCGUCUCUGAGCAGAGGACUGAGUCCUUGUUUUCUUGCCAGGGAGAGCACAAGGCCCAGGCCUCAGGCAGAUGUUGGUCCUGAUUUUUGAUUAGCUGAGGACAAGGGAGUGCCAAGGGUGAUGGGGGACAGUGUAUAACAAAGGGUGUUGUGACAGAGAGCCAAAGCCUCUUUGGCCCUCCACCCAGCAUCCAGUCAUGGAGGCCCCCCAGCAGGGAUUUCUUCAUCCCCUGAGCCGUGAGAUGCCCCUGGUGCUAUGGUGGAAGCCUGGACUGGAAGGUACUCCACAGAAGAGGUGGUAGGGGGCUUAUGUGGACAUGUGUGUCAUCAGCAGUCUUGGGCUGUCGUUCAGCGGUGAUGGGCUUUCCAUUUAUUUCUCUAGUGGAUGACAAGUUGGCCAGCAGAGGUGUCAGAGGGCAGGUUCCAGGGAAUACAAGGGUCAGACUCGUGCUCCUGGUCCUCAGUCGCUUCUCGUCUUCCUGACAGAGUAGUGGGCUCCACUGUUGUGCACAUCUUCCUGGAAAUCGUCUCUUGGCCCGCCAUUGCCGAGCGGCCACACCUGCUGCAGCUCGUGUGAGCAAAUAUGGCUCUGGAUCCUCUUUCCUGCUUUGAAAGCAGCUUCCAUCCUGAAGGCGUCCAGAGGGGGCAGUUAUCAUGGGACACCCGCCAUAUGCUGGCAAGGAAGAUGGUCAGUUCUUCUGAGCCACAAAGGCCCCCAACAUCCUGGAGUUGGUGUGGCCUAGCAUCCACGGUGCGCCCCCUGCUGGUGGAUGGCUCAGGAUGGUAAGCAUUCCUCUGCCGCACAUGCUGAGUGGGGGUGGGAUUUCCAAGACUGCAAGGAGCUGUUUCUCAGCAGGCCACUGAUGGCAUGGUCAGUUCCACUCCUAAAGUGAACGGUCUGUGCCCAUUGUUCGGUGGCGCAGCUCUGGCUUCCCCAGCGUGCAGAGGGUUUUUAAGGUCAUUGGCUUGCCCACUGCCCAGCCUGUGGUGUCAAACAUCCUGCCCCUUUGAAUGUGCUUGGAUCGAUGAUGAGUCCCCCAUAAAAACAUUCCUUGGAAAAGCUGAACAAAAUGAGUGAGAACUCAUACCGUCGUUCUCAUCGGAACUGAGGUCCAGCACAUUGCCUCCCCCGGGGACUGUAGGAGCGAGGGACAACUUCCACUGGUUCCCAGAGGUUCUACCACUCAGGGCGUCCAUGGAUGAAAGUCUCACAUCACAGGCACAAUAGAAAUAUUCCCUCUGUGUGAGGGGCAGUUGCCGUGGGAGGCCCGCUGCCUGCUGGAAGGAAGAUGGUCAGUUCUUCUGAACCACAAAGGCCCUGCAGAGUCCUGGAGUCUGUGUGGCCUGGCUUCCAGGGUUCACCUCAUGCUGGUGGAUUGCUCAGGAUGGGUGUCGAACGUAAAGCUUUAAGGUUGUCAGCUCACCUACUGCCCAGCCUGUGGUGUCAAAUGUCCUGCCUCUUCAAAUGUGUUUGGAUCGAUGAUGAGUCCCCCCAAAAAAACAUUCCUUGGAAAAGCUGAACAAAAUGAGCGAAAACUCAUACCGUCGUUCUCAUCGGAACUGAGGUCCAGCACGUUGCCUCCAGCAGGGACUGUUGGAGUGAGGGACAGCUUCCACUAGUCCCUAUAGGUUCCACCACCCAGGGCAUCCGCAGGUGCACCUCACCUAAGAGGGUGGCCAGAGACAGUGUCUUGUCAUGACAUCAGAAGCCCCAUGAGGAAGAAGAGGAGCCUGUGCUCCUGCCAGAGGUGGUGGCUGUUAGGGGCAGUUGCCGUGGGAGGUCCGCUGCCUGCUGUCAAGGAAGAUGGUCCAUGCUUCUGAGAAACAGGC